rnacentral:lncRNA from 1 species
AAGCGCGAGGCUAGGCAUUCCUAAAGCUUCCUUCGAACGGUGUAGGCUGUGUUUUUCUUGCGAUUCGAAGAGACUCCCGUCCUCCACAGCAAGAAUCACGAGUUAGAUACAGUCUCACCGUUUGAGAUGGCAUUGGGAUGGGCGAAGGGUGCAGCAGUUUCUGGUGGCCUCGGGGAUACCUUGGGAACCAAGACCUCGUGCUCACGAGCCUGUAUGCCUAUCGUCGGUGUGGUUUGUAGACUGUAUCGAAACCAAAGUUAUCCUUUUCAAAUAAUUCCAUUAAGUACCUUAGAAGCAGAGAUUGAGACUAUCGGAUUAAAUGUCGAGCUUGACGUCAUUGGAAAUAUCCAAGAUUAAUUCGGACUUCAUUUGGUUUAUUUACGAUAGAAUACUUGUACCUGAAUUUAUUUACUAUUUAAGUAAAUACACUUUAAACUGUUGAAAUUUAAUUUGCUCAAUGCCGGUUUGGGCUAACAAUGGGUAACGUGUUACAUUUAUAUUUCAGUCACGUAUACUGUACUAUUUACAAUUAUUUAUGCAAUUCGUAUUGAAUUUUUGUACCUAUCAGAGAUCACUUUAUAGACGGAGAAGAAGAAAAGCUAAGAGGAAAGAAUAAAGAAUUAUUUUUAUAGAAAAUAAUCUACCCCGAUACUUGAAAUUUAAUUCGUUAACUGUUAAUACGGCAAGAUUACGAUUUCCGUGGCGCCAAGGUUGACGGUUGACUAUUGUUGUAUACGAUGUGAACGAACAUCAUCUCAAAGGAAAAGUUGAUAUCUCAAUUGGUUUGGAAGAUAUUUUUUUUUUUUCAUUUUGGAUGUAGUUGCGAGUGAUCGACAACCAUUUUUUUUUUGUAAGGAAUUUUCUAUAAAAUUGCUUAUAUGUAUUUUUUUUUGUAUCUGUCAUAGUUUGAGAUAUUGCGAGUCGAAUUUCGAAGGAACGUGUAUCUCGCACAGUGUUCAAGAUAUAAACAAAAAAUGAAAAUAGUUAAUAUCUCCCAAACUAAUUGAGAUAUCAACUUUUCCUCUUAGAUGUUUGCUCAUAUCAUACGCAACCAUAACCAACUGUCAAACCUUGGCGCCGCGGAAACCGUAGUAUCCCCAUUAAUACCAUAAAUCCUUUUCAGUCGAACGUUCGUCCUAGAAUCCUAUCGUGAGCCGGAGACCCCAAUGCGAUAGAUGCGCGAGCCAUCUACUGCGAGGAGUGGCGUCAUUGGCCCGUUUCAUGCGCUGUAAGGUUGAAAAUAUUUCAUAUUCGGGGGCAAGGAGAGAAGGUCUGUUUCUAGAAGGCCAUAAGAGGUGCAACCCUGGCUAUGGCGUACGUUGGUCGCACAGGCAUCGAUCACUUCGCACACCUUUGCACCUCCUUUCCGCAAACGGGCCCGCUCGUCGUUAAGUCACCUUCCGCAAAGAAAGCCAUGACACUGCUCGAAGAAGUAUUCAGGCGGUGAGCUGAUCGUUUUACUUGACCUCGCAGAAAAAGUGUGCUUCCUCAGGUCCGGAAGAAUCCACGGGCCAAGCGGUAUUUUCAAGGCCUCGCCCUCGAAGUUAACGGGAGCCCGUCUCUGUCCCUGGGUUCAUCCCAAAAUGACAACGCUCACCCAACACCGAAGCAGAUUUUGAAACAUUGGUUACGGAGCCACCCAAAGAUCGUUCUCAUCCCCCGAUUGCUCUAGGAAAUAGAAUUCUCCAGGUAUGGAGGUAUUGCAUGUCUCGCAAGAAAAAUGAUCAAAACGAGUAGCGUGUUCCGAGCUUGAUGUACCGAACGCAUCCGAACGGUGAUACGAUGGUGCAUUUACAAGCACGACCUGGGAGUCAUUUUUCAAUGGAAAGAGGAAAACGACUACAUGCGAAUACAUUAGACGUACGCUCGCUGCCUUCGGGCUCGGAAUAACCGUGUUUUCACAGAUGCAUUCGAGAGAGAAAGAGAGAGGUGUUGCGUUUAACUGCACAAGGGGGAGAAUGUCGAGGUGUCCACAUGACCCUUCUCACGGUCGCGGCAAUUAGACAGAUACGCGCGAGCAUUUCUUUUAGGUAGAAGAAAGCUGUUUGCCGGGACACCGAAGAGAGGUACGAUUUACGUUAAAGGAAACGCUUCCUGAAGAUUAUUAGCGUUAAUGUAUCAUGUACGAGGGGCUGGGGGGAAGUUGAAAAAUUCUUUUCGCUUCAGCGUAGCGCAGAACCGGUGCCCAUGGACCCUUGGCUUCUCCGAUCGUAACGAAGUUAACUGGCCACGUGGCGAGGUGUCCUGGUAUUAACGAAUCUUUAUCGGGGAUGGGCGGGGCGUAUGCAAUAAUUUUUUGAGCUCCAGGUAGAGCUACGGGCAGCCCCAUUAACUAAAAGGACGGGCUGCGAAGACCCUACCGACGAGCUGUACGUCUUCGUUGACCCAUUUCUCGUACCUAAUCUAGAAUCGUGUAUCAGGUAUCGAACUCCGAGAACUUCAGAGUCCUAGACCGGAUGAAUGGUGUUUGCGGGUUGUUCUGUUUUGCAUCGCAGGAGAUCCAGACCGACCCGUGCAACGUGUUAGUGCCCAUACGCCGGAGAGAAAGGUCGUGGUGGGAAGGCGAUACCUAUUUUGCGAGAGCCAGGUACUCCGUUACGGGGAGGGGGGCACGCAAUGGAUAUUGUUGUUUGAGCUUCAGGAACGUUUUGGCGUAACCGUGGAAUGACGAGGGAAUAACGAGAACGACGUUCCAAGCAGUAAGCUAACCGUAGACAGGAACAGGAGGAAUAGGAAGACUCGUUGAGGUACACACUCGAUCCAAAAGUCCAAAGCAGACGGUUACGUAGACCCCGGGAUACAUAGAAUGGAGGCGCACGUAUCCUUGCUGGUGCUUGUACGUACACGGGGAGGGGGGCACGCAAUGGACGGUUAUUUGAGCUUCAGGAAUGUUGAGACUUUGUGGAUAACGAGAGAUCGAAGACCCAGGAUACGAGUUCAGAAGUUGACGUAGACAUUGUAUCGGCGAGUGUUACUCGAGGGUCCGGACUAAUUGUUAUCGUACCCUGGAAGACGUGAGACGGAACUACGGUAUCCAAUUUCUACAAUUUCUACCAUUUCUACGUUGCCGGUGCUAAUUUUGCAACGGCUCGUGGCAUGCAAUGGACAUUGUUGUUUGAGCUUCAGGAAUGUUUUGACGUGUUUAAUGGAAUGCUAGAGUGCAGCUACAUAAAUUACAAGUUCGAUCGGUUGGGAAAGCAAAUACGUGACAGUCCAAUAGCUGACCCCAGCUUGUCGAAGGAUCAUUCAUCAUCGGUCGAGGUAAAAACGUUCAUGGCAUUUUCCGUCUUUUCGUAUCCGUGGAGAGAUAGUAUCUACGAUGUGGGGGGCCUCCGGGGAAGACAGCUCUCUUGCUUUGAGUCACAGGAAUCCGAGUCAAUGAUUACGACCGAGAGCGGGAAUAUCGUCCUCCUUGAAUGCGCAAGAAAAAUGCAAUAUGUUGACCCGAGGUAACGGAAGACCCCACCGACAGACCGGAGCGAAUUCUAAUUUCAUCCAAUACUUGUCAACAAUGUCAUCAUGGCAGAUUGGGACAACGAUUUUCUUUUGUACCGCAGACUGUACUGGAACGUGAUACAUAGCUGUUAGCAUGCACGAACGGAUCAAUUAGCCGAUCGAGAAUGAACGAGGUACGGUUCUUUGUGUCAAUUUUUUCCUUGUAUUUCUACCGUGUAGAUUUAGGGUAUAGCACGAAACACAGGAUUUCAUUCUCACGCGGAGGAACCGGAGAGUAUCCCGUUUAAUAGAAAUUCGAGGUAUUGCGAUUACUUUUUGGCAAAUUGGUCGGCAAUCCAUGGGGAGGGUCGUUGAAUUUUAAGCCGCAGGAAGAAAAAUUAACGAACCGCUGAAGCAGAACGUCAAUGAAAAGGAAGUAGAGUGAAAUUGUAUAGGAAGAGCGAAUCGAUGUAAUUUCCCUUGAAACUUAUUCCAUGUAAAGGAGAAAAAGCGGCGAUCACUUCGGGUUCGAAGUCUUCAGGUAACAGUGGAAUCACACAUUUCCGUAUUCUGAUGAUUGGUAUGAUGAACCAUUUUUUUUCAGUUUUGUCUUUAUUUCAAAGUAGGGAGGAGAGUGAGAGAAAAGUAAUUAUUUUAGACAGCAAGCAAAUUUGUGAAUUUUUUUAAGAUCUCGAAGAAAGCAUCUUGACUGCUUACGGGAAUUUAAUUUUAUCGCAAAGGUGAAUGAAUUCUAUUCGUAUUUUGUUGUUAGUUACAAUCUCUAAUGUCACCGAUAAGAGGGAGUUGUGUAAUUAUUGUUUGCGAUACAAAUGAGAAGUUCCUUCGUGAGACUGUGGAUAGUUAAAAAUUUGGGUACAAGUAUACUUAAGAACGAUAAGUCGUAACAAUGGCAUCAUACGAAGAUUUGCAAUGAGAGCGCAAGAAAAGAUUACUUUCCGCUACAAGAAAAGGAUAUUCACUAGUAGAGAAGAUUAUUGUCGAGUACUACGAGUUCUCGCGAUGGAAGUACUAUACGUCGUACAAGAAACUUCAUUAUAAAAACACCUGGGAAACGAAUAGUCUACCGAAGAUUUAUAUAUCCGAAGAUCUGCAAGUAACAAAUUUUACUCUCCACGUCGUAGUGCCAGAUUGAGCUUCACGUAAGAUUCGUUUUAACUCCUUGCGCAAGUUGAGCUCCAAGAAUAGUUGGUCGAUAUGGCUGGGACUUUGAUAACAGGGAAUCGAGCUAGCCGCUUAGAAGAAUGAGCCGCAACCCUCCAUUAUUAUAUGAGAAAAAAGAGAGAGAGAGGACUGCUUUUGUGCACUAUUAUGGAAUGAGUUCUAUUUAUAUUCGUAUAUCGGUGCUUAGUGUGUGGACCAUUGCGCUAUAAUUUGUGCAGUUUCAGUUUUGGUUUCAAAUUACGUAUAGUGUGAUGACAUUGUGCACCAAGAGAGUAUCAAGACACGUAGUUCGCGCUGUGAGUUUUUAUGCAAAAACGAACGUUUCCCUAGCCAAUUGUGAAUGUACGGAAUGUUACGAGCAAGAGGGAAUGAGUAUCCGCAAGAUUGCUGUAUAUUCGUGGCGCGCUACGUGGUGAGUUCACUUAAAAAAAGAAAAAUCAUAACUGUGAGGCGAAUCGAUAACUCGUCUCACGAUUCACGUUUGGGCCAAGAAGCAAUAUCUGUCGAGCAAAUUUGGCAAAGCUUGUAACAUUUUAUAAGAUUGGACUUUUUGUGCCGAGCGAUGACAGGACACCAUUUUUAUAUUCGUGGGAUUAUUAAUAAAUGCACGUUGGGGCGGGGGUGUGGGGGGGCACUAAUUUUCUUUCCGUAGUUUGAAGGUAUAUUCCAAGCAUGCCGAGACAUAGAUCGUUUGAGACGAAAGAAAGCCCACCUUGUCGAGCUAGUCCGCAAGUCUUUGGAAUUACGGCUUCUUCUGGAACACGUCUUGAAAAUGAUUUUACUCGACACCAAUGAUUUCUCAAGCACCGAUCAAGUUCAUUGGCAUGCUGGACUCUCUCCGAUCGCAAGGUCGAGGUGUGCUACUCGAAAGUUUACGGUGCAGCUUUCUGUGAGCCUGCUUUACGCUAACUCCUCUCGACUCGGAAUGCAUUCUCAGCCUAGGUGUUUCCAACAAGAAGUUACUUUUCUUCUUCUACUUCUUCUUCUUGUUCUUUUUCUUCUUCUCGAGAAAAUUAAUGCGGUAACGUGCGCGAUCGCUAGGACAUGUUCUCAAGAUUCGACGGUACUUGAAAACCAAGCUGUGGAGACGAAGCUUCGCAACCCGAGUUGCACAUCGAAGAAAACCUGGCACGGUUUAAGCGAGCCGUGAUCCUCUGUAGGACCGGAAAGGAAAUUUAUUAUUGCAGAUGCAGUUGCUUUAGAAUAGGAAAGCUAUUUUUUGUCGCCACUAGUACGCUAUUCGAAGAUUGAGCGAAAAGUAGUCUCGCCGGUACAAGCAUCUUGAAACUCGUAAAUAUUUGGAAGCGAUGCAAAAAUACGAAGACGAAGAGCACGAGGUUCUUUUCCAGUAGCGAAGUAAUCUGCCUGGUCGAUUAAUUGCGACGUCAAGUUUGUGGUCGAGAAAGUAACGAAUGACAAAGACCCCCCCUGGGAAAUCGGCAACAGCGAUAGAAUGUGAGUGGCAACGCCUUUUGUUCCCUUUCCUUUGCUGUAAGAUUGUUUUUAGAAUACGCUUUCCUGCGCACGAGAGCCGUUAGACUUUAGGGAAAACCUAUAAAGAAGAGGUCAAAGAGGAAAGCACGCAUCCGCGAAGGUUCCCGUUGCCGACGUGACUCGUUCCAUGCCAAUCCGCGGAGUCUGCAUGCGCUCAAUGUUCAUUGGAUUCCUGGUCGGAUCUCGUCUUGGAGUAUUGCUGCGACUCUUUUGGAUAUUCGUGCGAGGUCAACAUCCAAGGAAGGCUUCAUUUGGCAUCAACCCUUGGAAAGAUGCUCUUUGGAGUCCAGCUUUUCGUGCAGCCGAUCUUCAGGAUCCUGGGGAGAGUGGACUUCAGAGACGCAGCCAGGGAUUGACCUAGGAAGAUCUUCUGAAGAUGGUCUCUUAUCCGGGGUUCUUCUGGGUCGGACGAGAAAUCCAUUGGCGCGGUUGCGAGGGUAUUCGUCGAUGGAGUUGGCGGUCUUCCGAAGAGUCUUCUACUUCUCAAAUUCUAUGUCAAAGACGCGAGAUUCACUGGGGGGAUAGCUUUCAUUUUGGAGGACGUUCCUACGAAACUAGUUCGCCAUUCCGAAGCUUGAUACGAGCGCUCUUUUUAGAUCAAAAAGGAAUCUGCAUCGAAGAUCCGCGACAUUCAGUUCAGAAGAUUAAGGGGAGAUUUAAAAAAAUUCAUGUUUGAAUUUCAUAACAAAUUGUAGGUAUUGGAAGAUAAGCCAAGACUGACGCUGACACAGGUUCCAUAUGACAUUUUGAGAUUGAAAGCUUACAUUCGUACCCAGUUUAAAAAAAGGAAAAUGAUACAUUAAAAAAAAAGGCUAUUGAUACAGUUAAAAAAAAAGAAAUGAGUAAAAAUUAAAAAAGGAAAAAAUUUACUUAAAAAGGGGAAAAAAAAUAUUUAAACAGUCUACGAAUGAAGCUAGAAGAAUAGGGUUUAAGAUGCGACAGAUGAAAAUAACUUCUUAUUGCCGAAGAACGAAGGUGAAUCUUCACAAAUUGCAAAGAAAAAUUUGUAUACAAACUCGAUAACGAAUUAUUUACUGAAUACGCGAACGGAGAAAAGAAAAAACUGAGAAUUAAUCUUGAUGGACGGCGGCGAGGGAUCGACCUUGAAUAACAUUAAGAAGACCCAAGUGACGGCGGCGAGGGACCAUUCCUGGUGGACGGCGGCGAGGGACCAUUCCUGAUGGACGGCAGCGUGGGACCAUUCCCGGUGGACGGCGGCGUGGGACCAUUCCCGGUGGACGGCGGCGUGGGACCAUUCCUGAUGGACGGCGGCGAGGGACCUACCAUUGACUCGGAUGAUGGUGUCGUCAACCUGGUGACACGGCGGGGACGUCCGAUACGGACAAACUCCGUGACAACGGUGAACAGGACCGGUGGCAUCGAUAUCUUUCCACGGUACGUGGUACCGACGGAAUCAACUAUACCAAUGUUCCGGUUUAGAGGAUUUGGACGUCAAGUUUAUCACUUUAAAGGACGACAUCGUGACACUUUCUCGAGCUUCGUACUACUGAACUUGAGCGGACCACUCUGGAAGAUCGAGAGUAGAGAAUUAUAUCUACGGAUGCAUCGAAAGCAUUCUACGUAGAAGCAAAGAUCUAUCGUGAUGACGUAAACCAUUUUUGGAGCAACUUUAUCUUUUCGAUGCAAGUUUGGACAUCCCCGAGCACUAAACGAUGGUGCACGUUGGAAACAACGGCAUUUAUGUGAAUUGACAACAGCAGCCUAAAAAAUGGUACUAGGGCAGUCGGUGCGCGAUCUCUGCUAAUAUGCAAUGAGUUCGAUUAACGUUAUACCAUUCGGGGGACUCCAAAGUGAUACUUGUUUGGACGACACCAUCCAGAGAUGAUCACGAUGCAACGUAAACUAGAACUAAUGCACUUAAUUUCUUGGAUGGAAUUCAAAAAAUGAUGGAAACAUCUACGAUAUCGAACUUGCAUUGACGGCGGCGUGGGACUUCAUGGGAUUUGGAAAGAUUUCUUCGGACUGCGGCGUGGGACUUCGUGGGAUUUCGAAAAGUUUCGGGACUACAUCGUGGGACAUCGUGGGCUACAUCGCGGGACUUCGCGGGACUUCGCGGGACUUCGCGGGACUUUACGGGACUUUACGGGACUUCGCGGGACUUCGGGGAAGGCAGCUAAUGUACUUCAUUGAGGAGCAUCAUUUAAAUUAGUCUAGUCAAAUUCAACAAGCAAUACUUUACGACCUUAGAACUUAAAAGUAUUGAGAUUAGAACGGACUGAAAUUAUUUCAGGGUAUAUAAGAAACCUAAGAAAAAAUGCAGUUAUUGAUAUAACCCAUAUAUUAUUUAAGUUAUGCAAUUAAGAUAUUUCUGUUGUAACGAAUGUGGAUAAAAUCGUUUUUAUAUAUUAUGGAAAAUGUUAUAUAAAAUGAUAUUAAGAAAAAUAUAGGUAUUGAAAUUGAA